CAAGGAUGCUCUGCCUACAGUGUAGCCAUUCUUGAUCCCUUUACUUUCCUAAUAAACUUGUUUUCACUUUAUAAACUUGCCCUGAAUUCCUUCUUACAUGAGAUCCAAGAACCCUCUCCUGGGGUCUGGAUCAGGACCCGUUUCCAGUAACAUCUUUCUGGUGAAUCCCAGGUGGAUGAUACUGAAGAGACCCCCAACCCAAAGGAAAAUCAUCUGCAUGCACCAGUUGACUGACUUUGGGGCUAUGGGUGACAGGAUAAGGCAUGUACAGGACCACAGGACAUGGGGAGCUUUUUCCUCCCCCGAAAAAGGGAAACUUGAGAGCUGAUGGGACUGCCAGAAAACAUCCCUUCACUACCGACAAGUGGCCACCUGAACUUUUUAGUUUCACUGCAAUAGGAUACAACUGGAGAAACUGGUUAUUUUACCAAGGCUUUGACUGGAAUGGUGUGUUUACCUUUAAGGAAUCAAACUUGACUUAGAGAGCCAAGAAGAGCCCCUUGAAAAAAACUAGCCUCAUACCUUGUCUACACAGUCCCUGUACAGGGUUCCUGACCUGUGGUAAGUAAAGAAUGUCACCUUCUGAAAGGCCCAGGAGCCCCAAGUUAUUUUGGGACCUCAAGAGGAGAAGAAUUUACUCAACUCAUAGAUAUCUGGGGUACAAACCCAUGGCUAGGCUUGGCUUUAAAAAAAAGUCUUAUCUGAGAUUCCCUCUAUGGAACAAAAUUUCAUCAAAGACAAAUUUAAAAGCCUAUGUGAAAAAUAAUUAUUCUUGCUGCACUGUAUACAAAUAAUCAGGCCAAGUAUAAUAAAGCAAAUUAGUCUUACUAUGAUUUGUCUCCAGCAAAAAUGGGAAACUAGAGAACAAUUAUGUUUCAAGAACUGUGGUAUAACCUGUUAUUAAGUUCUAGUCUCAUCAGUUGAUUUUAAGGUUUUUUUCUGUAAUUUAGGCCAACCCUGUUUAUUCCUGUGAACCAACCAGUGAUCUCUUGACUGCUGCUCAGAAGAAACAACAGGGAUGGAUAUCAUCUUUUGUCAGAACUCGGAGUCAUGAACGGCCCUUGCCAUACCAAUGCUUUCUGACUGAGCUCCUCUCUAUCUACCCUGAAUGCAAGAGACCCAAUAGUUAGGCAGGAAUGGCAUUGCCCCUAUCAGCUUGAAGAAGUUACAGAAGAUGCAUCUUUAUCCCUCUGCAACCCUUAGGAUUAAGGGUUUUCUUAUAAAAGGGACGGGGGAAAUGUUAGAGGUGUUUGAACCAGAGCAACUCCAUCUUGAAUAGGGGCUGGGUAAAAUGAGGCUGAGACCUAUUGGGCUGCAUUCCCAGACGGUUAAGGCAUUCUGUGUCACAGGAUGAGUUAGGAGGUCAGCACAAGAUACAGGUCAUAAAGAUCUUGCUGAUAAACAGGAUGCAGUAAAGAAGCUGGCUAAAACCACCAAAACCAAGAUGGUGAUGAGAGUAAACUCUGAUCAUCCUCACUGCUACACUCCCACCAGUGCCAUGACAGUUUACAAAUGCCAUGGCAACGUCAGGAAGAUACCCUAUACGGUCUAAAAAGGAGAGGCAUGAAUAAUCCACCCAUUGUUUAGCAUAUCAUCAAGAAAUAACGAUAAAAAUGGGUAACCAGCAGCCCUCGAGGCUGCUCUGCCUAUGGAACACCCAU
rnacentral:lncRNA from 10 species